UUGGCUCAGGAUGAACGCUGGCGGCAGGCUUAACACAUGCAAGUCGAGGGGCAGCGCGGUGGUAGCAAUACUACUGGCGGCGACCGGCGCACUGGUGAGUAACACGUAUGCGACCUGCCCCGGACAGGGGGAUAAACCCGGGAAACUGGGCCUAAUACCCCAUAUGCCCAUUGAUCGCAUGGUCAGUGGGUGAAAGAUCCGUCGGUCCGGGAUGGGCAUGCGGCGCAUUAGCUGGUUGGCGGGGCAACGGCCCACCAAGGCGACGAUGCGUAGGGGUUCUGAGAGGAAGGUCCCCCACACUGGUACUGAGACACGGACCAGACUCCUACGGGAGGCAGCAGUGGGGAAUA
rnacentral:rRNA from 1 species